AUCCAGAGACCAGGUUCACAUCCAGAGUCCAGGUUCACAUCCAGAGACCAGGUUCACAUCCAGAGACCAGGUUUACAUCCAGAGUCCAGGUUCACAUCCAGGUUCACAUCCAGAGACCAGGUUCACAUCCAGAGUCCAGGUUCACAUCCAGAGACCAGGUUUACAUCCAGGUUCACAUCCAGAGACCAGGUUCACAUCCAGAGACCAGGUUCACAUCCAGAGACCAGGUUCACAUCCAGAGACCAGGUUACAUCCAGAGUCCAGGUUCACAUCCAGGUUCACAUCCAGAGACCAGGUUCACAUCCAGAGUCCAGGUUCACAUCCAGAGUCCAGGUUCACAUCCAGAGUCCAGGUUCA